CUAGAUCUUCUUUCUCUUAAUUUCCUAACCAGCCCCCAUGCAGUUUCCUAAUCUUUUCUUCAUCCCCAUGCAGAUGCAAUUAAGCACAUGCACCCCUAUAUUUCUAUAAAUACCCUUCCCCUCUCCUCCCCUCCCCUCACCUCAGUAAAAAGUCAAUUAAUUAUAAGCACGCACCAUCCAUUAAUAUAUAUAUAUAUAUAACACCCCGCCCCCAGCUAGGUAAAAAUUCUUCUCUAGCUAGCUAGCUAGCGCGCGGGAACAAUAUGGUGUCAUCAAUAUCUUCCAAAUAUAGACAUGAGUACUGCUUUUCAUGGCAUCUCUUCUUCUGUGUUUUGUCUCUCCUCUUCCUUCUAUUAGCGGCGACUAGGCCAGUGAGGGUCGUGGAGGAAAUUUCUUCAACGGCCAUGAUCAUGAUACCAGAGCAAUUGAAGAAGCAUAAUUAUGAUGAACGACCAAAUCUCCAAGGCGCCUUGGUUUUCAGUAUUUUACCCAAGGGGGUACCUGUCCCUCCAUCUGGUCCAUCUGAGAGGCACAACUGAAACUCGGUGUCGUCCAUCGGUGCGUGCAUGGCAAUUAAGCUCGAUAUUAUCUAGUACUAAUUAAAAGAAUUAAUGAACAUCAAAUUAAACAGUGAUCAUACUUAAGCUCUCUUAAUUAAUGUGUUCCAUCCAUAUAGCUAGCUAGUUGUGGGUAUUUUAUAUUUAUUUAUUAUUCUUUUUUUUUUGUUAACUUCAUUAUAUAUAUAUAUAUAUAUAUGAUGUUUUUCUUUUUCAUGAGUUAUACUACUGUAACUGUAAGAAGAUUUGAAUGGUAAGUACUACUGUUUUUUGCUAUCAAAGAAGUUGAAUGACGUGAGAAUUGACAUCGUGGCUACCCACCAGAUUCUCUGUCUCCAUUUUUUUUGUUUUUUUAUAUUUUUUUAUUUAAAUUUUGACACCUAAUUUCUUAUUUAAUAUUAAUUAAUUUUAAAAUUAAAUAAAAUGACAUGUAUCAAAAUUUAAGUGAUAAAACAUAAAAAAAUAAAAAAUUUGAAGAUGGAGCAUCUGCUCACCAACCCACCUUUACAACUUUAUUUAGUUUCAGUGUGAAGUCAAUGAUGUUUUAAUUCAUUUCGGGCAAUUUGCGAGCUUUAAUAUUCUCUCCCUCUCUCACAAAGUCAAAUGCAAUUAAAG
rnacentral:lncRNA from 1 species